GAGAGCUAGGACUCCACAUCUUCCUUCAACUUUAACUGCCUACAACUCUUUAUGAGCCCCUUUAACCAUCCAUGGUGGAAUGUUGCUGGGUCAAGCCUUUGUGAGUAGCCACUGUAGCUGUGAGUCCACAGGUGCAACAUCCAAGUCAUGUGCAGAAGAAGCAUUUAUAGCUUUCCUCCUCAUCCUUCAGCUCAUCCAUUCUUCUUGUGCCUCUUCUGCCAGCUUUCCUAAGUCCUGGAGGGAUGAUACAGAUGGGGCUGUAGAGUCAACAGUCACUUGUUCUCAGGAGGUAGAGCCUUCCCUACCCUUCUAAGUUAAUUGGUUUUAAUAAAGUCACAUAGGAAGUGUAGAGCCAGAGGUCUCUAUCUAGUGUUUCUCCAACAGCUUACUGAUAAUACAUUCAUAAUUUUCCCAUUGCUAUAAAGUAACUUCAUAAUGGGUCUUAGAUAAGUUUCCUUGAAACAGAAUUAUGCUUUAUAAGUUAAGGAAACUUGUGUGUAACCCCCCUCUCACUAUAAAUUUCAUAUAGCAAGCACAAUGCUAACCUAUACCAUCAAUUAGACAGAGGAUAGUGAUGGACUUGGCUAAGAGAGUUGCUUA
rnacentral:lncRNA from 1 species